AUGCUCUGGGAUGUACAUUCCCAGAUUGCUCAUCAUGAGCCUUUCUCAUGUCAAAAUGUUUUGUGACCACCAGAAGGCUGGUUCUGCUUUUAUUACCCAUGGAAUGAGAAAUAGAAAUGACAUGGCAUGGCCCUUCCCCACAGCACCACGGCUUCUCUUCCUCAGCACGGCGACAGGGGCUUCCCCUUUGCCGCCGCCGCCGGCCAAGCUCCGCCGCCACCGGCCAAGCUCCGCCGCGCCCGCGGCCCGCGGCCGCCAUGCAGUUUAUGUUGCUUUUUAGUCGUCAGGGAAAGCUUCGACUGCAAAAAUGGUAUGUCCCACUAUCGGACAAAGAGAAGAAAAAGAUCACAAGAGAACUUGUUCAGACCGUUUUAGCACGGAAACCUAAAAUGUGCAGCUUCCUUGAGUGGCGAGAUCUGAAGAUUGUUUACAAAAGAUAUGCUAGUCUGUAUUUUUGCUGUGCUAUUGAGGAUCAGGACAAUGAACUAAUUACCCUGGAAAUAAUUCAUCGUUAUGUGGAAUUACUUGACAAGUAUUUCGGCAGUGUCUGUGAACUAGAUAUCAUCUUUAAUUUUGAGAAGGCUUAUUUUAUUUUGGAUGAGUUUCUUUUGGGAGGGGAAGUUCAGGAAACAUCCAAGAAAAAUGUCCUUAAAGCAAUUGAGCAGGCCGAUCUACUGCAGGAGAAAACAGAGACUAUGUAUCACAGCAAGAGUUUCACUGGGUUUAAGAAAGCGUACUAGAAUACCUGCUGGAGUACUGACACGCAUCGAAAUGUAGUAGGGUAUAUACAUUCAGUUUGUAAUGACAAUUCUGUCAAGUUUGUUAUUUAUAUUUUAGCAUUACCUGAAAAGUCUAAUUACAUUAAAUCCCAAGGGAUAGUCCCAAUUACUUCAUUAAACUGGUAUUUUCAUAGGGAAUUUUGCUUGGAUAAUGAUCCAUUAUUGGGGCUUAUAAUUUAUUUUUUACACAGAAUAUGGAAAUAGCUUCAGAGGUUCAUUGACAAAAAAGCAUUCAUUAAAUACUGUGAAUCACUAAUGCCAUUGAUACAGAAGAAUUUCCCUAUGAAAAUGAGAGCUUCUGUGAGAAAAUGAAGUAGUUGGGAGUUUAAUUUCUUACUAAUAUGAUUUUAACUUGCUGCUUCAUUCCACUAUAUUCUGAGU